GUACUUGAAUGAAUUAUAUCAAGUGUUCCUUCCUUCUCCAGUCAUCUUGGAUUUAUAUCUCAGACUGAGAGAGUGAUCCCUUGGAACCGGCCAGUUGCUGUGACAGAGGAAAGCAAGAGCAUGGUGAAUAAUGUACUACUAUACACCCAGACUGCCAUUUGUCCCAUUUCAUUUGCUGAGAUGCCACCUAACACUUGCUGCUUGAUAAUUUCUCAUUGAUGAAGAGUAACACAGUUCUUCUCCAUGGUUGGUAAGAUUCUUGAUGGAUCUUAGCGUUCCUGUUGUUACCAUCAUGUCUUAAAUGGGAGGCAUAUGGUAAAUGCACAAUAAACAUUUUUCUGUAUUGUCUUAGUCCGUCUGGGCUUCUGUAAUGAAUUACCAUGGGCAGGAUGGCUUAAACAACACACAUCUCUUUCUCAAGAUAAGGGUUCUUGCAGAUCGCUGUCUGGUGAGGGCAUUCUCCCUGGUAGGCAAACCUCAUCUUCUCCUCGUGCCUUCCCCUAUGUCUGGACUUACUUAGGUUCAGGUUCUUCAGACCUCCACACAGAAGGAAUUCAGCGAGAGACAAAGUGAUAGGAAAAAAUAGAUUUUUUAGGAUAGGAUGCUUGUGAGAGAUGCAAGCAGGCAGGCAAGGAGGCACUGCCUAUAGUGAAUUUUUUAAAACAUAUUUCUUAGUGUUUGAUAGAAAAAAAUACAAAGAAUUAGUAAAUAUAUAGAAUAUUUAAACUACACAAAUAGCUAAUUUUAAUAAUAGAUAUUUAUAGUAAGUCUGAUCCUUCAAAUUAGAGGAUUUAUAUUAUUUCAAACAUAUGGAAACUGUAUAGAAAUUGACCCUUUGUGAGCUGAAAAAUGGGCUAAAACCCCCAAAAUAUUAUUAAAAUCAUGUUUUCUACCAAUGCUAUAUGUAAAAUGCAAAAAUAAAAUUAUACACAUAUAGAUAUCUCUAAAAAGCACAGUUGUAAACAGUACAUCUUUCAAAGGUUACUUAGAACAAUAUCAUUAUAGGAUACAAGUAAAAGAGUGCUUACAGAGUAAUUUAUAGUGUCAAAAAGCACAUGUUAAGAAAACACUUCAAAAUUUGUUUUCUUGAAUUUAAGAACUAAGAAAAAAAUCUGAGUCAACCCAAAAUACCAAAAUAAGAAAUUUAUAGAUAAUUUUAGUGAAAUAAGAAGUACCAAAAUAAUAAGAGAUAAAGCUUUGAAUAUAUUGAUAAAUUAUAUGUGACAUACCAAAAAUGAUGAAGAAAAAUAGAACUACAUAAGCAUUGUUAGGAAAGAAAAAAGGAAAGUUCCACAGACACAGAGAGACUGAACAAAUAGUAAGUGAAUUCUGUGGAAAACAUUAAUGAAAAUUUUAAUAAAAUGGAAAAUUUUCUAGACAAGCAUAAUUUAACAAAUAUAAUUUACCUGUAAGACCAUUAGAAUGAUCAAAGCAGUAGUUUUAAAAUCUGCCAUCAAAAAGUAUCAUAGCCAGGGAGUUUUAAUAUAGUGUUUUAGACAUACGUAGGUCAGAUGGUUCCUAGUCUCUCUUCUGAGACUGGAAAAGCAAAGCAUACUCCCUACCUCAUUUUAUGCAGCUAUGUUGGAGCUUCCUCAGAAGACAAUGCUCCAUAUCUCUUUCUCUUUCUAUGUAUCUCUUUCUCUUCUUCCUCCCCCUUCAUCUCUUGUAAUUUCUAAUCCAUCUUAUAUGACCAUGAAUUCCCAUUUUUAAAAUUAACCUGGCAAUUUAUAUUUUAGUUCAGCAAUAUUUAUUAAUUUCCUCUGUCCCAGACUCUUGAUAGUGUUUAUUGCAGAAGUGUUUGUUUUUUUCUUUUUGGCUAUGCCCAGGGCAUGUGGAUGUUCCCAGACUAGGGAUCGAACCUGCACCACAGCAGUGACCCAAGCUGCUACAGUGACAGUGCUGGAUCCUUAAUCUGCUGUGCCAUGAGAGAACUCCUAUGAUUGCUUCUGGAAUUAAAGAGACAUCUACACAGCAGAUUGGCUGCUAGCUACUCGCAGUUAGAGCCUAGUUCUUCAGUGAAAAUAUAGAUGGCAACUUACCCCUAAAUCAUCAACUCAUCUGUAUGUUCCUCUUUUUUGCCUUUCUCAAAUAAUUUGGAGUCUUUUGUAGACACAGCCUUAAAUACAAAACAAAUGGCAAAGUCCUAUGAGAUAAAACAGUGGCAAACUAAUUGCAGCUGUGUAGGAUGAAGCAGCACAAUCCAGAGGAAAAAGUAUCACUGAAAUUUAAAUGGCCAGGCUUAUACAUGUGGCUUUGCUACUGAGUUACCUGAGGCAAAUCACUUGGUCUUUCUGUACAUCAAUAUAACAGAGCCAGUACUACCUCUCCUGUCAGUUUUGCAAUAUUGCUGAGAAGUAAAUGGAAUAAAAUUAAAUAAUCUGAAAUCCUUUCAAAAUGUAUAGUAUAAAUAAAAAUGCAGUUAUUAUCCUCUUCAUUAUCAUCAUCACUAAUGUAUCAUGUGUAACAUUGAAUUUGAGGAAAGAAAAGUUCUAUUUUUAAAAUGAAUUUUGAGACAGAUUUUGAAAGCAAGAUGGGCUUAACUUUGGAAAAAAAGAAAAAGGAUCUUUUCUAGGGAGUAUUAUGUCUUUUCUAGUUUUAUUUCAUAGAUGUACAAUUCACAAUGCCAUGGCCUUCAAACAUUUUAUUGCAAUUACCACAUAUGCACACAUAAUAAACACACAUGAGCAGAUAUGGUAUAUACAUAAAAAGUCUUAUAAAACAUUAUUUACCUUUUCUAUAUUAGGUGCAGUCUGAUAUUUUCUAUUUCUAUUAUAUUCCAUCUAACUUUCAUUUUUAAAAGCUGUGUGUAUUUCACAUUAGUUUGAAAACUGGUACUUAAGCGCAUAUUAUAUCUCACAUCCAUAUCUUUUUUGCAUACGACCCCGGUGAAGACAACCUGUUAAUGCUGAUGGUAUCGGGCCAAGCAAAAUUCAAAUAUUUCUUUUGUUGGUGUCCAGAACACGUACUAAAAAUUUUUGUUCUGAAGUCGAGAAGUUCUAAUUGUGCUGUACUGUAUGUAUACCAUUAAAUUGUGGCACAGAAUUGGUUCAAAAAAAAAAAAAAAAAAAAAANAAAAAA
rnacentral:lncRNA from 1 species